UGUUGGUGAUGUAUACCAUCAGUGUUCCAGAAAAGAUCUUAUCUUUAGUGUUUUUUGUUCUUGGAUUAAUUGCAUUAUAUGAUUGAUUGUUACAAUAACGCUUUCAUCAAGAGACUGGACAGUACGGGCGAAGAGCUUCAAAGGGACAGGUUUCCUUGGUGAUGAUUGAGAAAGCAAUAAAAAGUUUGAAUUCAACAUAUUGAUUAGACAUCAGAUUCACGGUGCAAUUUCAUGAGUCACCAUAGCGAAAAACGAGUCAGGAAGACCAUAGUUAAUCGACUGUAUCGAUACAAUUACAAACCAUGGGUGCUGACUGCUGAGAAUCUGAGCACAUCUAAACUUUUACGCAGUUACAUCGUUAAGUGAUUUUUUUUUCUAGCUAAUCAUAUGAAUUGAAUCUAAUCGCGAGAAUACUGACCGACAUUGCACAGUUUGAAUUCAACAUAUUGAUUAGACAUCAUAUUUGUGGUGUAGUUCCAUGAGUCACCAUAUCGAAAAACGAGUCAGGUGCAGGUCUUUUAUUAACUAAUGGUUGCUGACAUACUAGGGGUGAUAGUUUUGGAGAGUAUGAAGUAUCGAUUUGUUCCAUCCAGUUUUGCAAUGUUAAGGUUAUCUAGACAUUAAUAUAUGGUUUGUGCCGUGUCC